UCCAUUGAAUGACUGCUUGCUCUGGCGUA
rnacentral:sRNA from 1 species